AGGCCUGUAAUAUUUUAACAUACAUCUUCUGACUGCAAAUCAGACACUUUAAUUAAGCUAAGACCUCCC
rnacentral:tRNA from 1 species